rnacentral:tRNA from 2 species
GGGCGUGUAGUUCAGUGGUAGAACGCCUUUCUGAUAAAAAGGAGGUUGAAGGUCCGAUUCCUUCCACGCCCACCA